UUGGAGGGCAAGUCUGGUGCCAGCAGCCGCGGUAAUUCCAGCUCCAAUAGCGUAUAUUAAAGUUGUUGCAGUUAAAAAGCUCGUAGUUGAAUUUCGGGAUUCGUCGGUUGGUCGGGCUUCACUGUCCGCACUGACCUGACGGAUUCCUACCUUCUGAAUAACCAGCAUGCUAUUAAGUUAGUGCGUUGGGGAAGCAGAGCUAUUACCUUGAAAAAAUUAGAGUGCUUAAAGCAGGCUUGUGCUUGAAUAGAUUAGCAUGGAAUAAUAAAAUAGGACGGCAUGGUUCUAUUUUGUUGGUUUCUAGGAUCACCGUAAUGAUUAAUAGGGAUAGUUGGGGGCAUUAGUAUUCAAUUGUCAGAGGUGAAAUUCUUGGAUUUAUUGAAGACUAACUACUGCGAAAGCAUUUGCCAAGGAUGUUUUCAUUAAUCAAGAACGAAAGUUAGGGGAUCGAAGACGAUCAGAUACCGUCGUAGUCUUAACCAUAAACUAUGCCGACUAGGGAUCGGAUGAUGUUAAUCUUUUAAUGACUCAUUCGGCGCCUUACGGGAAAC
rnacentral:rRNA from 1 species